rnacentral:rRNA from 1 species
GAAUAGAUAAUCGCUGAAAGCAUCUAAGCGAGAAACUAACUUCAAGAUAAGUAUUCUUUAAGAUACCUUUGAGACUAGGAGGUUGAUAGGUUGGAGGUGUAAGUACAGCAAUGUAUUUAGCUGACCAAUACUAAUUAUCAAAGUUUUAAUCUAAAAUCUACUAUAUAGUUUC